CCUACGGGAGGCUGCAGUGGGGAAUCUUCCGCAAUGGACGAAAGUCUGACGGAGCAACGCCGCGUGAGUGAAGAAGGUUUUCGGAUCGUAAAGCUCUUUCGUCAGGGACGAACGUAUUUCUUGUAAAUAAUGAGAGAUAGUGACGGUACCUGAAUAAGAAGCCACGGCUAACUACGUGCCAGCAGCCGCGGUAAUACGUAGGUGGCAAGCGUUGUCCGGAAUUAUUGGGCGUAAAGCGCGCGCAGGCGGGAUAUCAAGUCUGUCUUAAAAGUGCGAGGCUCAACCUCGUGAGGGGACAGAAACUGGUAUUCUUGAGUGUCGGAGAGGAAAGUGGAAUUCCAAGUGUAGCGGUGAAAUGCGUAGAGAUUUGGAAGAACACCAGUGGCGAAGGCGACUUUCUGGACGAUGUCUGACGCUGAGGCGCGAAAGCUAGGGGAGCGAACGGGCUUAGAUACCCGAGUAGUC
rnacentral:rRNA from 1 species